GGAUCACAAGCAUGAGCCACUGCUCCUGGCCCUAAGAAAUAUUACUUUUUAAAGCUUAGCAGUUUCACGAUUUGUACUUAGUCUGAAAACCAAGGAUUAAUGAUUUAUUUCAAAGAACUUUCAAAACCAAAAGCUAAUAGGGAAAUAAGGUUUAUCUGUAUCCCUAUCUCUUAAAGAUGGUUUUGAUGAAGAUGUCCCCAAACAUAUAAAAAGUACUAUUACAGUCAUAGGCCAAUUAUAUUAGCUAGAAUAGCUGUUUGCUAUGAGAUCAAACAAUCCUUAAGUCUUGGAACUGAGAAUCAGAAAGGCUGAUUUCUGAGUUACAUUUCAUCUCUAUCUCUCAUCAGUUAUUGGGGGAAUCCAUUCACCAAAGUCACUCAAGGACUUAGUCUAAUGAAACAGCCAUCAUCUUGAACAUUGCUGAUUGUGCUAGAAGUAAAGAAAACUCUGGAAGGCUUUACCCUGUCACAUCAUUUUACUCAACUCGUUGGCUAAAAUCAGGAGAUCAAGGAGUUCAGUCAUCCACAUUCCCCAAGUAGCUAAGAAUCAAAUAUCUAUGAACAACAUUAAUAAAUGCAAACCGCGGAUUUAUUAAUACAUAUUACAGAUGAUUGGUGUGUGGGCCAUAGAAAUAGGGAUGCAAAUAGAUGAAAGAAGCAGCCAAUAUGAUGGAGUGGAUCAAUGGCUUUAGUUCUGGAUUUGUACAGCAUUCCCUUCCCCAUCCCGUCCUCCUCUCCAGUACCUCUAUACACUCACACAACUUCAUGCAAGGCAAGCAUGUUCAUCCAAUUAUCUAUGUUUUUUAGAGAGACAGACAAAAAGAAAAACACCAGUUCUAAUCUGGCAUUUAUUUCUGUCCCUGGAUCAGCUGAAGUUUAUACGUCUGUGGCCUGGAAAAAUUGUGACAGCAGUUUACAUUAUGGCAUUGUUAAUUACUCCUUAAAUUAUCUUCCAGAAAUUGUGAUGAAUAAGCGAUGUAGAUCAACACUUCAAAGAUAUGCUAACCGUUGGUACUAUUUAUUAUUUUGAAUUUGUAGUUUUAAUAAAAUAAAAACAUUCUACAAUAAGAA